rnacentral:rRNA from 1 species
AAGAUUUUAAUAGUCGAACAGACUAAAAUUUAAUUAUUUUUACUUAAUUAUUUUAUCUUAAUUCAACAUCGAGGUCAUAAUCAAUUUUUUCAAUAUGAUCUCUCUAAAAUUAUUAUG